UCCCAUCCACCUCCACGAUCUGGUCGUUCACCUUGAUCCUGUCGCACAAGACGAAAGCAUCGGUCAACACUUUGUGCAACACACACUUUGUGUCCCAUUAACUGUCUGUCACAAGAGUCAGCAGCUGCAGAGCGGGGUUUACUGUAACCGAGACGCCCAACAUAUCAACCAGAGCUGUCAUGCGGCUGGAGAGAGACGCGUCGGCCGGACAGGUCGACACAGAGUCAGCAGCUCGGACACUUUUCAGACCUACACGGCAUUUAAUGUGUCAAAUGCGGCUUUCGGUGGCCGAGGCUGGUUGACAUACAGCAGCUGAGCGGAGGUGACAGGAAAACAAAUAAAAACAAAUUGACAGCAAAGUGACCGUAGGUGAUUCAAAUAGAACAAUGUGGGUCGAGAAAGAGGAGCAUGACACAACAACCAGAGACAUUGCAGAACCAUGAAGCCGUCAGGACACCCGCACAUUAAUGUCACCGUGCCAAACGUCAUGGCAGCCGGGACCGAAGCAGCGAGCCAACCGACAGACAGACAGACUGUGCCAUCCCUAGAAAAGGAAAACGUAAGCAGGUGUCGUUUCUCAAGACUCUUUUGAUUUUGAGUCUAUAAGAAUAAUUAACAAAACAUAAAAACACAGGGAACAUUACAACUGUGUUCAGUUCAAAUAAAUGAGAAAAAGGAUGAAAUCUGCAGCCUCAGAAUUGAAGCAGAGCCUUCCUCUGAUCGCAUCCCUCAGUCACAGAGGGAAAUGAGACUUAACAGAGUGCAGCAACUUGGAACAACUUCUCUCAAGAUGUUUCCUUUCCUCACGCGAUACUUCUCUCCCCUGUCUCUCUGCUCGCUACAUAUUAACUAAUCUCACUCUCCUGUGUUCCUAUAACUGGCGGCCCCGACUGCUGCAUGAGAGAAAGAAUGAAUCCCCCAAGGAGCCGCACCUCUACCGACCGCCAACAGCCUCAGUGCACCAGGUUCCACACGUCAUCGCUCAGUGAUAUGUGUGACCUCCAAUAGAAAAGCCGGUCUCACCUGGCGUCUCUCUCAGCGGCUCCGCCCUCGAUGAC